AGUGAACGCUGGCGGUAGGCCUAACACAUGCAAGUCGAACGGCAGCACAGUAAGAGCUUGCUCUUACGGGUGGCGAGUGGCGGACGGGUGAGGAAUACAUCGGAAUCUACUUUUUCGUGGGGGAUAACGUAGGGAAACUUACGCUAAUACCGCAUACGACCUACGGGUGAAAGCAGGGGAUCUUCGGACCUUGCGCGAUUGAAUGAGCCGAUGUCGGAUUAGCUAGUUGGCGGGGUAAAGGCCCACCAAGGCGACGAUCCGUAGCUGGUCUGAGAGGAUGGUCGGCCCCCCUGGAACUGGAAACCGGCCCAGACUCCUAGGGGGGGCAGCAGGGGGGAAUUUUGGAAAAUGGGCGAAAUCCUGAUCCAGCCAUCCCGCGGGGGUGAAGAAGGCCUUCGGGUUGUAAAGCCCUUUUUUUGGGAAAAAAAAGCAGCAGGUUAAUCCCCCACUGUUUGGCCGGUACCCAAAGAAAAAACACCGGCUAACUUCGG
rnacentral:rRNA from 1 species